ACACCGUUUCCUGGCGAUGAAAGAUGCUUCCAACUCAUGAUUCCUGUACAAAAGGUCAACCUUUUGUUUGGGGAUGGAGGACUAAAAAUAAGAAAAAUACAGACACUUUCUAAAGUAAAAAUAAUAAUGAUGGAUGAUAUUCCUGAGACAGUGGAGGAGAAACCUGUCUGGAUCUACGGUGAAGACUCUUGUGUGUUUGUUGCUAGAUUGAGAAUCAGUCUUUUGUUAAAUCCACAAACAUAAGUGAGGCUCAGACUGGCACGUGAAUCCAAUUAUUGUCAAGGCUAUGUAUCGUAAUAUUUAUGCUCAUGUAAACUUUUUUUUCUAUGUAAUAAAAUUCAAUGUAUGUUG